UGCAGCUGGUGGGCCUCGUACCUCCCCAUGUACCAUGUCAGAAGCUGUCCUUACUGAUUGGCCUAGUGCUUCAACCUCGGCUUCGUCUGAAACAUGCCUUGCUGGUGAGCCUCGUGAAUCAACACCGGCUUCGUCUGAACCGUGCCAUGCUGGUUGGUCUCGUACAUCGUCCGGCACUAGCUGCA
rnacentral:lncRNA from 1 species